rnacentral:rRNA from 1 species
CUGGCGGCNGGCCUAACACAUGCAAGUCGAGCGGAAACGAGUUGUUUGAACCUUCGGGGGACNANAACGGCGUCNAGCGGCGGACGGGUGAGUAAUGCCUGGGAAAUUGCCCUGAUGUGGGGGAUAACCAUUGGAAACGAUGGCUAAUACCGCAUAAUAGCUUCGGCUCAAAGAGGGGGACCUUCGGGCCUCUCGCGUCAGGAUAUGCCCAGGUGGGAUUAGCUAGUUGGUGAGGUAAGGGCUCACCAAGGCGACGAUCCCUAGCUGGUCUGAGAGGAUGAUCAGCCACACUGGAACUGAGACACGGUCCAACUCCUACGGGAGGCAGCAGUGGGGAAUAUUGCACAAUGGGCGCAAGCCUGAUGCAGCCAUGCCGCGUGUAUGAAGAAGGCCUUCGGGUUGUAAAGUACUUUCAGCAGUGAGGAAGAUGGUGUGUUUAAUACCCUCAUCAUUUGACGUUAGCUGCAGAAGAAGCACCCGGCUAACUCCGUGCCAGCAGCCGCGGUUAAUACCGAGGGUGCCNAGCGUUUAAUCGGAAUUACUGGGCGUAAAGCGCAUGC